GCUGUGAAGUUGGAUUCAUAAGCCUUGGGCUGGGCCUUUUCUUCUGGGAAGUGGGGCUGGGCCUUCGUUAAGGUACAAGGGUGUUUGGAGGGAAGAUGAAAGGGUGCUACGGUUUGCUUGUGAACUGAGGCGUUAGUACCCUUGAGGCUUUAUAAAUAGGAACUUGGGGUGACGGAGAAAAAUUUUUAGAAAGUGAGAAGGAGAAAAGGAGAUUUUCGGCGAGAUUUUGGUGGUGGAGCUUGUGGCCAAGGUGAUUUCCAGCGUCUUUACGUGGUGGUGCAAACAAGGUUCGGUGAAGUAGGAGCCAAUCUCAAAGGAGCAAGACGACGAAGUUGAGAGGGUGAGAUCACUGCUAUCAAAGACUGAGCGUGAGUGUAAAAACCUAGUCACUCAGAAGAAUCUGCUUGAAUCCAGCCUUUUGCAAGGAGUGGCAAGUAUCAUAAAGGGAAACACGAAGGUGGAUGUGGAUCUAGAUGAUGCCGAGAUGCAGAGACGGCUUAGGGAGUCUCGGGCGCAGAAGGCUGAGAAGGAAGGUGCCAAGCAGACUACUGGUAAGCAUCCUAGAGAUGACAAUGAAGGCUUGGUUGCUGAUGUGCUGGUUAAGAAGAGAGCGCUGGAGGAAGCUCACCAGAGUGUGAUGGGAACAGGGCCGAGGCUUCCUCUCUUUGACCUGCAGGCGCCGCCGAAGCUCCCCUUCGGUAUGGAGGACAGUUAUGUCGAGGGGGUGGAGUAGGUGGACUUCUCUAGGCUACGUCGGCAGAAGAAUGAGGUAAACCUUGCCAUGCAUCGGCAUGAGGUUUCCUUAAUGAACGUCUUCUUGGAAGGCGUGAAGAGUGAUCCCGAGGUUUUGGCCAGGACAUCGGCCUCGUCCUAUGUAGAUCUGGCCCAGAAGACGUUCCUUACCCAUUCCUAUGCCUAUGGCAAGAUGUACGUGAAUAUGGCCAAGGCAGAUAAAGAGAUCCAGAGAGUAAAGAGGUGCAAUGAGAUGGCUAAAGACAAAAUAGCGGAGACGCAGGAGGCCAUCCGA